CAACGUGGGAACGUGCCCUUUGGUUCGGAACAACUCAGGGAAACUUGAGCUAAUACCGAAUGUGCCCCCAUCCUUAAACAAGAUGGGUGGGAAAGAUUUAUCGCCAUUGGAGCGGCCCGCGUCUGAUUAGCUAGUUGGUGAGGUAAAGGCUCACCAAGGCGACGAUCAGUAGCUGGUCUGAGAGGAUGAUCAGCCACACUGGGACUGAGACACGGCCCAG
rnacentral:rRNA from 1 species